UGCAAUUGGAUUGAGAACAACGUAAAACUCUUAUCGAUAAGCCAUUGGAGGGCAAGUCUGGUGCCAGCAGCCGCGGUAAUUCCAGCUCCAAUAGCGUAUAUUAACGUUGUUGCAGUUAAAAAGCUCGUAGUUGAAGUGAGGGAGUGUGUGAGUAUGAGAGCUAGUCUCAAGUGCUCACAACCUCCCCCCUCCAAUGGGUGUAUUGGGGUAUUCAUUUACUUCAUUACUCCUUUGGUCGUUUACUGUGAGAAAAUUAGAGUGUUCAAAGCGGGCGUUUGUUUGAAUAGAUUAGCAUGGAAUAAUGAUUGAAGGCUUUCGUGUUCGAUUUGAUUGGUUUGUUCAUGGAAGCAAGGUUAAAAGGAACAGUUGGGGGUAUUCAUAUUC
rnacentral:rRNA from 1 species